rnacentral:rRNA from 1 species
CUACGGGAGGCAGCAGUGGGGAAUAUUGGACAAUGGGCGGAAGCCUGAUCCAGCAAUACCGCGUGUGUGAAGAAGGCCCGAGGGUUGUAAAGCACUUUCAAUGGGGAGGAAAAAGCGCAGGCGAACACCCUGUGUAUUGACAUUACCCAUACAAGAAGCACCGGCUAACUCCGUGCCAGCAGCCGCGGUAAUACGGAGGGUGCGAGCGUUAAUCGGAAUUACUGGGCGUAAAGCGUGCGUAGGCGGCCUGCCAAGCCAGGUGUGAAAGCCCCGGGCUCAACCUGGGAACGGCACUUGGAACUGGCAAGCUAGAGUUGGGUAGAGGGGAGUGGAAUUUCAGGUGUAGCGGUGAAAUGCGUAGAUAUCUGAAGGAACACCAGUGGCGAAGGCGGCUCCCUGGACCCAAACUGACGCUGAGGUACGAAAGCGUGGGUAGCAAACAGGAUUAGAUACCCUGGUAGC